UUGUCCAGUAAAAUUGACACCCUGUCUGUAGGUAAACGCGGAACCUGGCUCGUGUUAAUCAUAUAUAAACUCGAGCAAGUUGCACAGGUAUCACACGUAUACAGCCUCUGAAGCCGGAACCAAGACGUUGCUGGCCAGUAACAGGGAUCAUCGUUUUUUAAGCAUAUCAAGACAUCAGCGUGUGCUUUUAACACCAACCUUGUAAUGGCCACCAACCACAUCCUCAUCCUCUUGGCUGUGUUUUUGACGUAUCACCUGACAUCUGCUGCAAUUCUAAGACCUGAUUGGUUCCCUUAUUUCAGAGACGAACCACAAACAGGGAGAGGUGUCACAAUCAGUACUCGGCAAGGCAGGAAUAGUCUGAACGGUAUGAACUGCCCUCCCGACAUCUCCGAGUACGAGUGCUACAAUGAGCUGAUGGCUGUUUGGACAAGAGUUCUUGCAAAGGAAAAGCGACAGGAUAAAUUAAGCGUUGCAGGGAUUGGACGAAAGUGAACGGACAGUCACGUGAUAUGUACCAAGUGAAUUCCUCAGCUUACGUCUCUAGGGUCCCCGUAAUGUCUCAGACUAAAGUAUGAUAACAGGCUUGAGAUGAUACCGCAAAGUCUGCUCUUAUUAAUCACCAUGCGUAUUAGUCAAUGGAACCCUCUGUCAAGCGCAAUGAACGUUAAGUAAGCACUUACGGAAGUCUGCUAGUGCCAACUCUAUUCAUGAUACAAGUGUCUGUUACUUAACAGAUCUGCUACUCUCAUAUCAAGGAACAUAUGCAACUGGAACGUGUCUGACAGAAAGAGACGUGAUAACGCGCUGCAACAUCGUCGAGAGGGUUAUGAAAAGAUGCCCAGUUUGAUACAUCGUCUGAACUGUAUUGCCAUAUGUUUCAGACAUUAAAUGGAACCUAUUCUUUUUA